CGGAAAUAUCUUGAAACAUUGUAAAAUGAAUCAUCAUUUGAAAUUGGGAAUUUUAUUAAGUGAAAGAAAGUGAAGAAGAAGGACUUUCUUAAUAUCAGAAUUAGAAUCAAAACGUUUGGCUUCUAUCCUUUUUUUAUUUUUGCGAAGAGUCAGAAAAUGAACGUUGCGAAAUCUGGUGAAUAAGUCAGAUAUGUGUAGGCAGAAACCUAAAGAAGGAAGACAUUUUUCUUGGAUAUUAUUAUCCCAGUGUUAAUAGAUACGAUUAUCUGGGAUCUAUCACUAAUCCAUGGAAGUAUGAAAGGAGGCAACAAGCACUUGAACCGUAGAGAGAAGCUUGAAGGAAACAUGUUACUGUCAAAACCAUAAAUAACGAAAUUAUUUCUAUUGGAAGUACCUCUUUAUCAGUGUUAAAACAUUUGGGUUUCAAGUAUAAAAAGGAGGACAACAGAAGAG